UCUCUCUCUGUUGAUCAGAAAGAGCUGAGGAAGAGAUCCACGAGGAAGCUAUCAGCGCCGAAAUUUCUUUAGACGUCACCGUAAGCAGCGGCGCCACCGAGUCUCCCGAUCAGGGAGCUUGAUGCCAAUCAUUUUCAUCUUCAGAAACGACUAAGAUCCAAGCAGAGGCAUGGCAACGGGUGAUUACAGAAGCCUUUGAGUCUCUGAGGAUCAAUUACAGGAUCCCAUCAACUUCAACAUGCUAUUCAUAUUCUGACUGGAAACAUAGGAACCCCUAGGGGCGACUACUUCACUCUUCGUAUAGCAAUGCCUAGCCCAUCAGCCUAAAGCAAAUCAACCAUAUUAUCUUGCCGUUGACCCAAGACUAUAGUAUCUCAACUCUGGUCCUGUCCCAAUUGGCAAGAAAAUUUUCGCAUAUAUUUCCUUCCCUCAA